ACCCUGGAGGACUAGUGGUCAGGCCUUGGCGCUCUCAACACCGUGGCACAGGUUCAAUUCCCGGCCAGGGAA